rnacentral:tRNA from 1 species
GGUGAGGUGUCCGAGUGGCUGAAGGAGCACGCCUGGAAAGUGUGUAUACGGCAACGUAUCGGGGGUUCUCAAUCCCCCCCUCACCGCCA